UACCGUAUGACAUCGUUUGCUGACAUCAAAUAACGAUUAAAGGUUUAGCGGUUAUGGAUGGGGAUGCGUCUGAUUAGCUUGUUGGCGGGGUAACGGCCCACCAAGGCUACGAUCAGUAGGGGUUCUGAGAGGAAGGUCCCCCACAUUGGAACUGAGACACGGUCCAAACUCCUACGGGAGGCAGCAGUGAGGAAUACUGGUCAAUGGGCGAGAGCCUGAACCAGCCAAGUAGCGUGCAGGACGACGGCCCUAUGGGUUGUAAGCUGCUUUUAUGUGGGGAUAAAGUGCGUGACGUGUCAUGCAUUGCGGGUACCACAUGAAUAAGGACCGGCUAAUUCCGUGCCAGCAGCCGCGGUAACACGGAAGGUCCGGGCGUUAUCCGGAUUUAUUGGGUUUAAAGGGAGCGUAGGCUGUCUAUUAAGCGUGUUGUGAAAUUUACCGGCUCAACCGGUGGCUUGCAGCGCGAACUGGUCGACUUGAGUAUGCAGGAAGUACGCGGAAUUCAUGGUGUAGUGGUGAAAUGCUUAG
rnacentral:rRNA from 1 species